UCAUACAAGAAACCCAAAUCAAUAACCAUCGGCGUAAAGAGUGGUAACAUGUUAUCUCAGCUAGCUAAGACUAAAAUGCAACUAAGCUGUCAUAAGCCUAAGAUCCACAUAAACUCCAACCCAAAACUAUCUUAGCUUCAACGACCAAUUUCAACCCACGAAAGCCAGGACACAAACUGGGAUUAGAUACCCCACUAUGCCUAGCCCUAAAUCCAGAUACCUUCCCCCAUACCCACGUAUCCGCCUGAGAAUUACGAGCACAAACGCUUAAAACUCUAAGGACUUGGCGGUGCCCCAAACCCACCUAGAGGAGCCUGUUCUAUAAUCGAUAAUCCACGAUCCACCCAACCACCUCUCGCCAAUACAGCCUAUAUACCGCCGUCGCCAGCUCACCUCCCAUGAAAGCACAACAGUGAGCCCAACAGUCCUCGCUAACAAGACAGGUCAAGGUAUAGGUUAUGAGGUGGGAGAAAUGGGUUACAUUCUCUAACAUAGAGCACUAACGAAAAAGGACAUGAAACCUGUCCUUAGAAGGAGGAUUUAGCAGUAAAGUAGGAUCACCCCAAGCCUACUUUAAGCCGUCCCUGAGGCACGUACAUCCCCCCCCUCACCCUUUUCGUAAGCCACCCACAAUAAUAAAUAAUACCCCAACUCACCCAAAAAGGCUAAAGAUGAGGUAAGUCGUAACAA
rnacentral:rRNA from 1 species